CGGGUUACGGACUACUCGUUAAUGGAUACUGUAAUAACUCUAGAGCUAAUACAUGCCACGAAGCCCUGACCCCGGGCUCCCUCGGGGAAUGGGUGCACUUAUUAGAACAGAAGCCAACCAGUCUCCGCGUGCAUUCCCUCCUUCGGGAGGUGUGUGCGCGGGCUGCAGCACUUCUGGUGACUCUGGAUAAUUGUUACAGAUCGCAGUCGGCUUUACGUCGGCGACGGGUCCUUCAAAUGUCUGCCCUAUCAACUUUCGAUGGUAGGUGACCUGCCUACCAUGGUGAUAACGGGUAACGGGGAAUCAGGGUUCGAUUCCGGAGAGGGAGCCUGAGAAACGGCUACCACUUCCAAGGGAGGCAGCAGGCGCGCAAAUUACCCACUCCCGGUACGGGGAGGUGGUGACGAAAAAUACCGAUGCGGGACUCAUUUACGAGGCUCCGUAAUCGGAAUGAGUGGACUCUAAAUCCUUUCACGAGGAUCAAUUGGAGGGCAAGUCUGGUGCCAGCAGCCGCGGUAACUCCAGCUCCAAUAGCGUAUAUAAAAGUUGCUGCAGUUAAAAAGCUCGUAGUUGGAUCUCGGUAGCAUUGUUGCCUGCUCAGUUGUCAUGCUCUGCGGCGUGCAUCACAUCGUGUGGGUCGGCUGUGCAUUGUCCACGCUCCUAUGGGGGCUGGGCGUGUGCGCUUGGCUUCAUCACGGUGGGUGUACACAAAAACCGCAGUGUAUUGAGCUGACGUGGCGAUGGUGCCACCUUUGAGCCAUGUCUGUGGUGUAACAGCCACAGGUGUAUGCUAGUGUCGGGCAGUGCUCUGCACCUGCAGUGGGGCCUAGCCGGCUCGCCUGCAUGCCAGUGGAUGCCCUUUAAAAGGUGUUCAUGGGCCGGAUGGCACGUUUACUUUGAACAAAUUUGAGUGCUCAAAUCAGGCCGAAUCGCCUUGAAAAGUUUUGCUUGGAAUAAUGGCAUAGGAAUUCGGUUCUAUUUAGGUGGUUUUCCGAAUCCGAACUAAUGAUCGAACAAGAAAUGGCCGGGUACUUUUGAUUUGUUCGACCUUAACGGGCAAAUUCUUGGUACGUUAUCCCUACGAACCAAAGGCCAAACCUUUCUUUAAACCAAGUUUUUUUUUGGCCUAUUACCGAAAAAACAAAUGUCCGGAAAAAAAACAAAAAUCUGGCCCAUUUUUUUUUCUUUAAAAAAAAACCCCUGGAACCCCCCGGGGGGGGGUUUUUUAAAAGUUUCCCCCCGGGGGGGGGCCCGGGGAAAACUUUUUAUUUUUUUGGGUUUCGGGGGGAGGAGGGGGGUUCCA
rnacentral:rRNA from 1 species